rnacentral:sRNA from 1 species
GAGAGACAUGAAGGCGCCUAGUCCUGAAGUCUCCGGCGUUUCGGGGAGGAAACGCCCGCUCAUUCAGAGCGACUGCUCAAGGCGGCCCGCAGCGAUUAUCCCCCGCUGCGGGCCGUUUCUUUUUC